rnacentral:rRNA from 1 species
GAUGAACGCUGGCGGCGUGCCUAAUACAUGCAAGUCGAGCGAACAGACGAGGAGCUUGCUCCUCUGACGUUAGCGGCGGACGGGUGAGUAACACGUGGAUAACCUGCCUAUAAGACUGGGAUAACUUCGGGAAACCGGAGCUAAUACCGGAUAAUAUAUUGAACCGCAUGGUUCAAUAGUGAAAGACGGUUUUGCUGUCACUUAUAGAUGGAUCCGCGCCGCAUUAGCUAGUUGGUAAGGUAACGGCUUACCAAGGCAACGAUGCGUAGCCGACCUGAGAGGGUGAUCGGCCACACUGGAACUGAGACACGGUCCAGACUCCUACGGGAGGCAGCAGCAGGGAAUCUUCCGCAAUGGGCGAAAGCCUGACGGAGCAACGCCGCGUGAGUGAUGGAGGUCUUCGGAUCGUAAAACUCUGUUAUUAGGGAAGAACAAAUGUGUAAGUAACUAUGCACGUCUUGACGGUACCUAAUCAGAAAGCCACGGCUAACUACGUG